AGCAGCUGCAGUCUCUGUGUGAGCCUAUAAUCUUCAGCGGCACUUGUGGAUUUACCAGGACAGCUUCAGUGACCAGGUUAUCUGGCUUUUGAUGACUGGUUGUUAAUUCAUCUCCACUUCAAGGACCGAGCUGCCGCACUCCCCCCUCCCUCUUGUUGUAUACAUGUCCCGGAUUACUAUGGUGAUCGUGAUGUUGACGUGCGCCGUCAACGCGAUGACGUCAUUUGUGAGUGACGCGGCCGGGGAGCCGGGUCCCGGCGGCGAACACACCUGAGCACACUUGGUGAGGGGUAAUAAGGAUAUCUCCCAUAAUAAGAUAUGUCAAUAAAGAAAAGAGAGUUGAACAGGCACAGUGAUGGAUUGAGAGUGGUGAAACAUUUCACAAUAUAAUUUUCACAACUGUUGCUCUUGAGAGGUUCUCCUGAAUGUCAUACCUGAAAUAUCACUAUAUCUCAUUAAACCAUGCCCAAAACAUCCAUUAAAGGUCCAUGUAUGGGAGCCAUAUCAUGAUUAGGAGCUUGUCCCCUAUUAUUUUUCAAAUGUUCUUUAUUCUGUGCCUGUGUUCUGUACAAAUACAUGCUGUACUGUACAAUACAUGUAAAUUCACAAUAAAA